CCAACCCGCGAGGGGGAGCUAAUCCCAUAAAGCCAGUCGUAGUCCGGAUCGCAGUCUGCAACUCGACUGCGUGAAGUCGGAAUCGCUAGUAAUCGUGGAUCAGAAUGUCACGGUGAAUACGUUCCCGGGUCUUGUACACACCGCCCGUCACACCAUGGGAGCGGGUCUCGCCAGAAGUAGGUAGCCUAACCGCAAGGAGGGCGCUUACCACGGCGGGGUUCGUGACUGGGGUGAAGUCGUAACAAGGUAGCCGUAUCGGAAGGUGCGGCUGGAUCACCUCCUUUCUGGAAAAAUGCUGCUUCAAAUUGAACGUCCACACUUAUCGGUUGUUGGAACAAGCCAG
rnacentral:rRNA from 1 species